rnacentral:lncRNA from 1 species
CCAUCUCACAGCUUUCACAUAUUAACCACAACUAGGUUUCUGCCAGCUUUCUCAUAUCAGUCAUCAGUGAAAAGGGCAUAAACAUAGGCCUACAGGCACUUGCAAGUCCCCUGGUCCUCCACGUGGAAGCUGUGCUGAGGAGAGGCUUCCUAAAGCAUGAGUUGCGCUGACUUGCAACAGGAGUGGAUGCAAUGUGAAGCUGAAAAUCUGUUUCUCUUCAGAGAUUGUGAUCCAAAAGCUCCCUGAAUCAAGCAGAAAAUCUCAACUGACUCUACACAUUUUUAGACUUGUUCAAAGGUUAUCUUCUUGGACAUAGAGUAUUCUGUCACAGUCACGGACGCUUUGUUUAAAAGCUUAAAGUGAAAAACAGAAGCCUGGAUUAAGGAAAAAUCAACUUAAACUUGGAAUCGUGGAAUGUCUUGGGGUGAUUUGCUGGAAUCAGAAGUAAACAAUGGGUGCAAAAGGAAACAAGCAGAGACUCCAACUGUUUUGGUUAAUCUUUCUCCUGUGUUAGCUGUCAUGGCACCGGCACUAGUUUGA